GUAGUCGGUCCCAAGGGUUGGGCUGUUCGCCCAUUAAAGCGGUACGCGAGCUGGGUUCAGAACGUCGUGAGACAGUUCGGUCCCUAUCCGUCGCGGGCGUAGGAAAUUUGAGAGGACCUGUCCUUAGUACGAGAGGACCGGGAUGGACAUACCUCUGGUGUACCAGUUGUGCCGCCAGGCGCAUCGCUGGGUAGCUACGUAUGGAUGUGAUAAACGCUGAAAGCAUCUAAGUGUGAAACACACCUCGAGAUGAGAUUUCCCAUUCCUUUAUGGAAGUAAGACCCCUGAAAGAUGAUCAGGUAGAUAGGUUAGAAGUGGCAGUGCGGUGACGCAUGAAGCGGACUAAUACUAAUCGGUCGAGGACUUAACCAAG
rnacentral:rRNA from 2 species